rnacentral:tRNA from 1 species
UGCUCCAUGGCUGAGUUGGUUACAGCGUCCGACUGUUAUGUGCUGACAUCGGAAGGUCGAGAGUUCGAGCCUCUCUGGAGCAG